UGGUGUCUGAACCAGCUGGUCC
rnacentral:piRNA from 1 species